rnacentral:rRNA from 1 species
UACGGAGGGUGCGAGCGUUUGUCCGGAAUCAUUGGGCGUAAAGGGCGCGUAGGUGGCGCGGCAAGCGUGCGGUGAAAGCUCGGGGCUCAACCCCGAGUCGGCCGUGCGAACUGCUGGGCUUGAGCACUGUAGAGGCAGGCGGAAUUCCGGGUGUAGCGGUGGAAUGCGUAGAGAUCCGGAAGAACACCGGUGGCGAAGGCG